GAGGCGCGGGGCCCAGGGAGGGGAGGGGUCCACAGUCUGCCGCGGCCGCGCGGUGGGGGAGGGAUUCAAGCUGCGAGGAGGCGCCGGAGCUCCGGAGGCGCGGGCGAGGGGUGCGAGUGGGUGACGCGAGGCGCCCCUCCCGGGGGUGCAGGGAGAGCGCAGAGCGUGCGGAGACGCUGCCGGGCUCGCGCCUUCUCCCAGCUGGGUAGAUCCACGGAAACGCGCGCGCAGCUAGGCUCAGAGCAGCCAAAGGCGGCAAUCGGAACUUGUCGGUGGCGUCCCGUGCUGGAGCGAGGGCGCUCUGCGGGGUGGAGGGCUAACCCCGGGCUUUUCCUCGAGCCUGUCGAAGACGUUCGUUCCUCGGCGGGUGAGGCGUCCUCUCCUUUUCUGCAGGGCAGAGAAGAGGAGCUGCCUGCUGAAGUUCUUCAAACACUGAGCAGGAGAGACGUGGAGCGGCCCAGGGAGGGAGGCCAAGUAUUUGCCAGGGGGACGCUGCGAGUGGGGUUGCAUUUAUACUGCUCUCACUGUGUGACGUGCCCUCCAGGGGCUUCUCUGAUUCGCUUAAUGACCUAAACACCAUUAGUUGAGUCCCCAUGCUAGGGCCAACACGGUCUCCAAAUAUCUGCUGGCUGAAGUCAGAGGCUUUGCAUAUCAUGUAUUACAUGGCAGGCAAUGAAGAGGCUUCUGAGGCUGGCCGGCUCCUCAGCCCUAGCUCCAUUUUCAUGCUGUUGUAAUAGAAUACCAGACGUGGGAUAGGCACAUACAUUCAAAAUCCCGGUUCCAGAGGCGUAAGAUCACUCGGUCAGGAAGAGGUCAGGGGAGGUAGGGCAAAGCCUGCUUUUACCCAGACUUUUGCGAAUGCAUCUGGGGAGUCUAAACAAGCGCCCCACCGGUUGGUGCAGUCUCCAGUGAGAGGGACCUAGUCCUCCUUCCAGAGCUCGGUGAAUGGGAGAGGUGAGACCUUUUCAGCACUCAUUCUGUGGGUUCGUUCGACAUCAGAAGCAGCCAGGAGCUUUCUUUGUAGAGGACAAGAGGAGGGCAAGUCCUUACACACCCUGCACACUGCUAGAACCAUAAAUACGUUCCACUCACAUGGGCAUGGAAUUCGCUGUACCUUUGAAAUGCACUAAGUAGUCCAUCUCUGCUAAGCAAAACCUGUUUACUGGACCUAAAUUCAGUGGGAUCACCUUUAUUUUAUUAGCUGGGAACAGGGAACACAUAAACAGGCUCGACUUACAUCCAUGUACCUCUUAUUUUAUGACUCAUCCCAUUGUUGGGGAAUAUGUGUUCUUGAAGUAGCUGAUACAGACAAUGGAUGAGGGGGAAUGUGUGGCAAUGUGAGGGGAAGAGCACGUAUUAUUACACUUAUUCAAAGUCAACGAUCAGCUACUUUGGAGGUUUGUCAGUGAAGUUAGUGUGGGCGGAAAAUUGUUCUUACUAACGUUACUGUGACUUAAGAUUAAGCCAAGUGCAAAUCGAGACCUCCAAACAUACUUCACCUGAAAUCAGAAUGCACUUGAUGCCAGAAAAUGAUGCUUUUGUUUCUGAUAGAUGCAUGGUAGCCGUGUGCAUGGACUUGGGAACUGGAUGAAGGAGAGCAGCUUAAUAUAUUGAUUUCCAAGUUUACAUGGUUUGGGAAUGUGAAGUUGACUCUUCCUGGUGUUUUUUAUCAUAAAUAAUUUUUCAUUUUAAGGCUUUUCACUGGGGGAGGGCGUGGUCAAGCCCUCCAAACACCUGCAGUGUGCCAGAGAACAUGUUAGACGUUGAGGUUUGUGAUGAUCAGACUUUGAGGAGCUCCAGGGAACAGAUAACACUGAGCUAACUGUGUAAGGAAGGCUAACCGGAAUCUCUACCACUCAGCCACGUGUCUCCCAAAAGCCUUCCGGAAAGGCCACCCAGCCAGCCUCACGAAAACUGGAUUGAAGUUCAGGAACUGGAAGGUCAUUCAGGAUGCAGUUCUGGGACUGUUAUCUUGCUGCCCCCUCAGCAGCAGGCAUCUGCUUGUCGUCCCUGCUAACAGACUUAGCCGCUAAGAGGAUCCAUCAUGCAGGUUUGCUAAGAAGGUCUGUGAGAUAUGGCAUCAGUCUCGGUCCUGACAUUGGACAGGUGUUGGUGAUACCUCUUUUUACAGUGCAAGAUGGAUGGCACAACCUCAGCGUCAUGUCCUCACUUGAUAGUGGCCAAAAUAACAGGGAAGGAGAGUUUGGAGUGAAAAAGGAUCUCUCUUCUUUAAUUAAAGGAUUGUCUUUCCUGGCAGCCUGCCCCCAGUAGGCAUCUCUUCACACUUCAUUGAUUAAAGGUGACUCACAUGCCUACCCUGGACCAAUCAUUAACAAAGCAAAAGAAGACUGAUGUGUCUCACUGGUGGAGCAAUCACGAAUCAGCUCUGGAUUCAGGCACCAUACUGCCUAGAGAGUCAAAGUUUUGCUAGUAGAAGAUGGGGCACAAUGAAUGUUGUUGCACUUAACUUUUCUUCUCCAUUAUAAAUUAUGUGUCUGGCAUCAUGUUAGAGGAAUAGCUGAGGCACAAAUUUCCUGAGAACACCCCAGGGGCUGUUCAAGAUGUCUUCACAGACAUGUGCAGUUGAAGGGCAUUGCAGUCAGCUGGUAGGGCCAGGCUGUGAAAUGAGACAUCAUGUUCAUUGGACAGAAUCUUCACAUCAACCAGAACUAAUCUAGAAGGAAGUGUGUGUGGGAGGGUAUGGAUAUUGUCUCUACAUGGCUUCUGGAAUGUAUUAGAAACAAUUUAAUACUCAAAUGUAUAUGAUGAUAAAAUGAUAUGAUGAUCUCCUGAAGAAUCCUUCCAUUGCAAAUCUGGUGCUGGAAAUAAUUUUGUAGGAGGUGUGUCUCAUCUUUAGGAAGUUUAAAAAAUAUUAUUAUUACUAUAUGUGCAAGAUGUCUGUGCAUGGGUGGGCAUAUGUGCUGUGGUGUAUGUGUGUGUAGGUCAGAGAAUAACUUUGUGGAGUUGAUCUCUUCUUCCCCUUCUGUAUUGGUUCUGGAAAUCAAACUCAGGUUUGUGUGGGAAUUGCUUUACCUACUUAGCUGUUUCUCUGGCUUCCUCAUCUUUAGAAAGUUUAGAUUCAAAAUCUAAACUCACAAAACACAAGUUAGAGAUCAAGUAGUCUGAAGUUUAAAAUAUUCCUUACUUUACAGAAUUUGCUUUGACA